GUUGCUUGCAUAGAAUUAUGAGGUUUGGAACAAGGAAUCUGUAGAAGUAUGUGGAUUGUAGUUUUGUAGUUUUAAUAAAGUUAGGAACAUAAUGAGAGGAUAGUCAAGAUUAAGGGCUAGGCAACGCACAAAUAAUUUUAAUUGUUCGGUGGCCAAGUAAUUCCCAAUUGUAUUUUCCUAUUCAGUUCGAUUUCUUCUGGGGUGGUAGAAAUCAUUAUCAAGGAUUAUGCAUUUCCAUGGCAAUCAAGGAUAAUACAUCCUUUGCACGGCACCAAGCCAUAUUUUCAGUAGGUGUCUGAAAGUGCUAAGAAUAAUCUUAAAUGUUCCCUCAACAGCCAGUUGUAAAAACACUU
rnacentral:misc_RNA from 1 species